UACGGGGGGGGUAAGCGUUGCUCGGAAUCACUGGGCGUAAAGGGUGCGUAGGCGGGUCUUUAAGUCAGGGGUGAAAUCCUGGAGCUCAACUCCAGAACUGCCUUUGAUACUGAAGAUCUUGAGUUCGGGAGAGGUGAGUGGAACUGCGAGUGUAGAGGUGAAAUUCGUAGAUAUUCGGAAGAACACCAGUGGCGAAGGCGGCUCACUGGACCGGCAUUGACGCUGAUGUGCGAAAGCGUGGGGAGCAAACAGG
rnacentral:rRNA from 1 species